rnacentral:rRNA from 1 species
UACAGGGGGUGCAAACGUUGCUCGGAAUCAUUUGGGGCGUAAAGCGCACGUAGGCGGUCUGUUAUGUCGGAUGUGAAAGCCCUUGGCUCAACUGAGGAAGUGCAUCCGAAACUGGCAGGCUAGAGUACUAAAGAGGAUCGCGGAAUUCCCGGUGUAGAGGUGAAAUUCGUAGAUAUCGGGAGGAACACCGGUGGCGAAGGCGGCGAUCUGGGUAGAUACUGACGCUGAGGUGCGAAAGCGUGGGGAGCAAACAGG